AAUACGUCAAUUCCUAUGACAUUUCCUCAAAUCAGUCAGUUGCAUUCACGAUGGAUGGUAAAGUCAGUGCGGGAUGCGCUCCGUCUAAAUUGUGAAAAAUCGCAAGAUUUUCCCAUUUUUUUGCGGGAAACUACCGCUUUUCUGAAAGAGAAAGUUUCGUUCGAUAGUUUUGCGUUAUUUUCUCAGCCGGUAGUGGUGAUUUUAGCAAAAAAAAAAGUGUUUUCCGUAUUGUAAAAGUUCUGACGUUUUACUGUCAAAAGGCGUCUAUGAACAGCAUGCAGCGACUAUUAUUGACAUUAAAGUGAAGUUUUCGAGAUUUUUCUUAAUUUUUGAGGAUUUUACGUGUAAACCAAAAGAUGCUUAAAUUCAGAAAUGAUCAGCGGCAAAGAUCGCGCAACCCUGUAUAUGAGGCAUAAAAAUGUAACUGCACCAAACGCGAAAAGUGACUUGAAUAAUUUCUAAACUCCUGUAAAUCGGUAUAUGAAUGACUGCAAAAAAUUAAUACCACAAAA